GGGGAUUUAGCUCAGCGGCAUAAGCGCCUGCCUUGUAAGCAGGUAGUCAUGAGUUGAUCCCCG
rfam:Cavia porcellus supercont2_6 genomic scaffold, whole genome shotgun sequence.